rnacentral:rRNA from 1 species
AUUAAUUUACACCAAUCAGCGCCAGGGAAUUACGAGCCAUGCUUAAAACCCAAAGGACUUGACGGUGUCCCACCCCCCUAGAGGAGCCUGUUCUAUAAUCGAUAAUCCCCGCUAUACCCUACCAUUCCUCGCCUCAGUCUGUAUACCUCCGUCGAAAGCCUACCCUGUGAACGUCCAGUAAGCCCAAUGACCCCCCUCAACACGUCAGGUCAAGGUGCAGCUCACGGAAUGGAAAGUAAUGGGCUACAAUUUCUAACAUAGAACAAACGAAAGGCCAUGUGAAACCAUAGUCACGAAGGUGGAUCUAGCAGUAAAAAGAAAAUAGAGUGUUCUUUUUAACCCGGCUCUGGGACGCGUACACACCGCCCGUCACCCUCUUCGAUAGCUUUACUUCACGUUUAUAACCCUUUAUCCGCACCUUAGAAGAGGCAAGUCGUAACACGGUAAGUGUACUGGAAAGUGCACUUGGAUUACAACAAAAUAUAGCUUAACGAAAGCCCCUCGCUUACACCGAGAAAAUGUCUGUUUAACCCAAACUAUUUUGAGCCCAAAAUCUAGCCCAUUUAACUCACAUGACCCCCUUAACCAACUGUCUUAUAAACAAAACAUUUUAACAUUUUAGUACAGGUGAUCGAAAAAUUUCUAAGCGCUUCAGAUAAAGUACCGCAAGGGAAUAAUGAAAUAGAAAUGAAAUAACCUUAAAGCCUUAAAUAGCAGAG